CGGAACUCGAGUGGUGGAUGCAACACAUGGAGGCGUGGAACGGCAAAGCGAUUUUCGGCAGCGCCCCGGAUUGCAUAAUAGAAUCCGAUGCCAGCACGCAGGGCUGGGGAGCGCGUUGUGGUCAUAUUUCCACAGGCGGAAGAUGGUCCCAGUCGGAAAGAACGAUGCAUAUCAACGGCUUGGAGCUCAUGGCGGGAUCAUUCGCACUGAGAAGUCUUCUGGGAGCCAGGACACAUUGUUUCAUCGUUCUACGGAUGGACAACGUAUCAGCGGUGCAAUACAUCAACCACCUGGGCGGCACCAAAUCCAAACUUUUGGCGUAUUUAGCCACGGAAUUCUGGCAGUUUUGCCUGGAUCGCAACAUCUCAGUACUGGCCGAAUACAUC